CAAUAUGGCAGCGCCCUGGCUGAGUUCGGCGCGCCACCUCUCUAUCGUUCCCAUCACAGGCAAGGAAUUCCGUUGACAGCAGUCGGGUAGGAAAAGGAGAGCGCUGCGCGACACGGGUGUUCACGAAGUGGGGAGGUUGUCGUCUGCGGUUAACGACUCCCGGGAAGGUUUCCAAGGCUAAGCCCGGUGCCCGGAGGGAAAAGAAAGAAUUUCCUCAUUUGUAAUCAGAAAUUUAUAUCUUGUCACCUUCAAAAUGUCUGAAUCAAAGUUUCGUGAGGUUUUGCCCAAGCAAGGGAUGUUAGCAGUAGAAGAUGUAACUACCAUGGUGAUGUGCAAGCCUAAAUUGCUGCCAUUAAAAUCUGUUACUUUGGAAAAACUUGAGAAAAUGCAACGCGAAGCACAGGAAAUUAUUCAACAACAGGAACAAGCUGCACAGCAGUGUUCAACAUCUGCUCUUGAUCAAUAAAAAAUCUAUGAUUUUCCUACUGGGUCUGUAUUAGUGUAUGUAGCAAUACAAUGACUUACGGAUAACAAGAUGAAAUAUUUUUUAUCAAAUGCAUUUUAGAUAAAUGUUUACAUGUAUUAUAAUUUGUAAAUAUCUGGAAAACUAUCAAAGUUAUAUUCAGCUUCUUGCUUUACAGGCUGCAUAUCUUGUUAUAACAUUAGUGGAAUUUCUGAAUAAAUGGUUUUGCUACCAAGGUUUCAUAUAUGCUGAGCCAUAAAGUGAUUUCUUGAUUUUGACUUUGUGUUACAUGAAUAUGGCUUUUAAAUCAUGACUCAGUGUAAACCAGAUUUAGAAAGUUCAAGAGUAAUGAUUGUUAUUAGAGGCCUUAUGAUGUAUUUAAUAUUCAUCUGGAAUAUUGUCCUCACAAGACAUAAAUUAUGCAGUGGGGAAAAACACUACUCUUUGAGCAUAAAGAAAGUAAGAGGAUGCUUUAGAAAACUAAUCAGUCCCCACUUACAAUUAUUGUAAUUAAAUUAGCUAGUAGGCUUUCAGCAUUCAAGUCUGAAUAUAGCAAAGGUAUUUCUAAAAU